AGCAGGGCCACACUGAUAUGGCGCAAAAGUAUGCAACCAAUCACCAAACAACUCCAAGCCGCAGGAGUCGCCUAUAGAUGGGCAACACCAGGAACUCUCUGGAUCACUAAAGAUGACAAGCACUACAGGGCCACCGACCACACAGAGGGCCCAGCACUGAUGACCGCAUUGGGAAUAUCGAACCUCGCAGCGACCUCAGCAACACAGCCAGAUCAUCGACCAGAGACAACGAGCACAGAUUCAUCCGCAACCCCUGGAACAAGCAGAGGCCCGAAAACCAAAACCUGAACUAACUGCCUCACCGACGGCCUCAUAGGCCUUAGUUUAAUUAGUUUAAAUAUUUUACGUUAAUAAGACUGUUCAUCUAAGUUAUAUGUAGUUCUCCCACACUCUGACGGCCAUUACAGUGCUAAAAAGGCCCACCAGAGCCAAGCACACCAGCUCCGAUAACAAUCCCCCCCCACCCCCCUCCCUGGG